rnacentral:rRNA from 1 species
UUGCUCUUCAACGAGGAAUACCUAGUAAGCGUGAGUCAUCAGCUCGCGUUGAUUACGUCCCUGCCCUUUGUACACACCGCCCGUCGCUACUACCGAUUGAAUGGCUUAGUGAGGUCUCCGGAUUGGCUUUGGGGAGCCGGCAACGGCACCCUAUUGCUGAGAAGCUGAUCAAACUUGGUCAUUUAGAGGAAGUAAAAGUCGUAACAAGGUUUCCGUAGGUGAACCUGCGGAAGGAUCAUUAUUGAAUAAACUUGGUGUGGUUGUUGCUGGUCCUUUCGGGGGCAUGUGCACACCCAUCAUCUUUAACUUUCCACCUGUGCACAUUUUGUAGGUCAAAAAUUUUUCCCGAGACACGCGUUUCGUGGAAUAGGUUUUUGCCUAUGUUUUCAUAUACACCAUAAGAAUGUAACAGAAUGUAUCAAUGGGCUUCAUGCCUAUAAACUAUAUACAACUUUCAGCAACGGAUCUCUUGGCUCUCGCAUCGAUGAAGAACGCAGCGAAAUGCGAUAAGUAAUGUGAAUUGCAGAAUUCAGUGAAUCAUCGAAUCUUUGAACGCACCUUGCGCUCCUUGGUAUUCCGAGGAGCAUGCCUGUUUGAGUGUCAUUAAAUUCUCAACCUUAUCAGCUUUUGUUGAUAAUGGCUUGGAUGUGGGGGUUUCUUGCUGGUUUCUUAUUGAAAUCUGCUCCCCUUAAAUGCAUUAGCUGGUUGCCUUGUGCAGACUGUCUAUUGGUGUGAUAAUUAUCUACGCCAUUGACUAUCUGCCAGUCUUUAGCACCGCUUCUAACUGUCUGUUAACUCGGACAAUAUAUGACAAUUUGACCUCAAAUCAGGUAGGACUACCCGCUGAACUUAAGCAUAUCAAUAAGCGGAGGA